UACGUAGGGGGCAAGCGUUGUCCGGAAUCAUUGGGCGUAAAGAGCGUGUAGGCGGCCCGGUAAGUCCGCUGUGAAAGUCGGGGGCUCAACCCUCGAAUGCCGGUGGAUACUGUCGGGCUAGAGUGCGGAAGAGGCGAGUGGAAUUCCCGGUGUAGCGGUGAAAUGCGCAGAUAUCAGGAGGAACACCAAUUGCGAAGGCAGCUCGCUGGGACGUAACUGACGCUGAGACGCGAAAGCGUGGGGAGCAAACAGG
rnacentral:rRNA from 1 species